rnacentral:lncRNA from 1 species
CACUAGUGGGAGCUUCUCGGUGCCUGCGUGAAGACGCCCUCUUGCCUCCGGGAAAAGUAUCGUCUGCAUCUUCUUGCUCCAGGAGCGGGGGUGGGGAGCGCAGCGCGGAGGAGGCAGCGCUGAGAUGACUCAACAGUGCGGCAUUUGGGGGCGCCGCGGAGGCUGGGACUGCGUAAGCGGCGAUAGGGUAGGACCCACAGCCUCCUCGCAGGCAUUCUUGGAGCUCGGUUCCGCGGUCGGUCCGGAUCUCCCGGGAAGUCUCGCCGGAGUCAGGCAGGCCUUAGGAAGAAGCUGCCUGAUGUGCAAGGUUUCAUAGGCCGUCAGAGGGGGCAUCCUGGAGGAGCCCUGGCAUCAGGAAAGUGAGCCCCCCAUGGCAGCCCGCAGGAAUGAACCAGUGCUCAGGGCAGAAAAAUUCUGCCUGACCUUUCCCAUCUUCCUGAUGAUGUUAACAAACGACAGCCACUGAGGGCACAGGAGGGGGCUCUACACAGGCCAAGAGCUACAGGCUACAGUCUGAGCACAGAAAACCCUCCAGCUCCAGCAUCCAGGGCCACAGCUGGACACAAGUACAGAACCUGGCAGCCCUGCAGCCCAGACAAUGCCCAGGGUGUGAUUUAGGGUGCAGAGCUGCAACUCAGAUCCUGUGCCAUGGCAGUAUCACAGGAAGGACUUGACGGAGAGGUGAAGGCUCCAGACGCCAGGAUAUUUAUUCCCUGUGCCAAUACAGCAUUCACACCUGACCUCCAGGUCCUGCAGCAGUCUCUCCCUUGCUGGGGACAACACAGGAAGAGACAAAACCUGAGGAAGGAAAAAGGGAACCUGCAACCAGCCAUGGACCUCAU